UGUCUUAGCAUGCAGUCGAGCGGCAAGCGCAGCAAUGCGCCUAGAGCGGCGGACUGGUGAGUAACGCGUGGGUGAUCUACCUCGGGGUUGGGGAUAGCCAUUAGAAAUAGUGGGUAAUACCGAAUACGCUUCCAUGAUUACGGUUGUGGAAGGAAAGGCGCUACGGCGUCGACCUGAGAUGAGCCUGCGUCCCAUUAGCUAGUUGGCGGGGUAAUGGCCCACCAAGGCGAUGAUGGGUAGCCGGCCUGAGAGGGUGUACGGCCACACUGGGACUGAGAUACGGCCCAGACUCCUACGGGAGGCAGCAGCUAAGAAUAUUCCGCAAUGGACGAAAGUCUGACGGAGCGACGCCGCGUGGAUGAUGAAGGCCGGAAGGUUGUAAAAUCCUUUUGUCGGGGAAGAAUAAGCGUGGGAGGGAAUGCCCGCGUGAUGACAUGAACCGGCGAAUAAGCCCCGGCUAACUACGUGCCAGCAGCCGCGGUAACACGUAGGGGGCGAGCGUUGUUCGGAAUUACUGGGCGUAAAGGGCAUGUAGGCGGUUUUGUAAGCCUGACGUGAAAGGCUAUGGCUC
rnacentral:rRNA from 1 species